rnacentral:rRNA from 1 species
GAUGAACGCUAGCGGCAGGCUUAAUACAUGCAAGUCGAGGGGCAGCACAGGUAGCAAUACUGGGUGGCGACCGGCAAACGGGUGCGGAACACGUACACAACUUACCUUAGAGUGGGGGAUAGCCCAGGGAAACUUGGAUUAAUACCCCAUAAAACAGGGGGCCCGCAUGGGCAUAUUGUUAAAGAUUUAUCGCUUUAAGAUGGGUGUGCGUAUGAUUAGGUAGUUGGUAGGGUAAAGGCCUACCAAGCCGACGAUCAUUAACUGGUGUGAGAGCACGACCAGUCACACGGGCACUGAGACACGGGCCCGACUCCUACGGGAGGCAGCAGUAAGGAAUAUUGGUCAAUGGACGGAAGUCUGAACCAGCCAUGCCGCGUGAAGGAUGAAGGUCCUCUGGAUUGUAAACUUCUUUUAUAGGGGGCGAAAAAGGGCCAUUCUUGGUCAACUGACGGUACCCUAUGAAUAAGCACCGGCUAACUCCGUGCCAGCCGCCGCCGUAAAAC